rnacentral:rRNA from 1 species
UACGUAGGGGGCAAGCGUUGUCCGGAUUUAUUGGGCGUAAAGGGCGGGUAGGCGGCCAGGAAGGUCCGUGGUGAAAACUCGAGGCUCAACCUCGAGACGCCGAUGGAAACCAUCUGGCUAGAGUCCGGAAGAGGAGAGUGGAAUUCCCGGUGUAGCGGUGAAAUGCGCAGAUAUCGGGAGGAACACCAAUGGCGAAGGCAGCUCGCUGGGACGUGACUGACGCUGAGACGCGAAAGCUAGGGGAGCAAACGGG